rnacentral:rRNA from 1 species
UCCUACGGGGGGCAGCAGUAAGGAAUAUUGGUCAAUGGACGCAAGUCUGAACCAGCCAUGCCGCGUGAAGGAUUAAGGUCCUCUGGAUUGUAAACUUCUUUUAUUUGGGACGAAAAAGGGUCUUUCUAGAUCAACUGACGGUACCAGAUGAAUAAGCACCGGCUAACUCCGUGCCAGCAGCCGCGGUAAUACGGAGGGUGCAAGCGUUAUCCGGAUUCACUGGGUUUAAAGGGUGCGUAGGCGGGUAGGUAAGUCAGUGGUGAAAUCCUGGAGCUCAACUCCAGAACUGCCAUUGAUACUAUUUAUCUUGAAUAUUGUGGAGGUAAGCGGAAUAUGUCAUGUAGCGGUGAAAUGCUUAGAUAUGACAUAGAACACCUAUUGCGAAGGCAGCUUACUACGCAUAUAUUGACGCUGAGGCACGAAAGCGUGGGGAUCAAACAGGAUUAGAUACCCUGGUAGG